rnacentral:rRNA from 1 species
AAUGGGCGCAAGCCUGAUCCAGCAAUGCCGCGUGCAGGAUGAGGGCCUUCGGGUUGUAAACUGCUUUUGUACGGAACGAAAAGUCCUGGGUUAAUACCCUGGGGUCAUGACGGUACCGUAAGAAUAAGCACCGGCUAACUACGUGCCAGCAGCCGCGGUAAUACGUAGGGUGCGAGCGUUAAUCGGAAUUACUGGGCGUAAAGCGUGCGCAGGCGGUUUUGUAAGACAGAGGUGAAAUCCCCGGGCUCAACCUGGGAACUGCCUUUGUGACUGCAAGGCUAGAGUACGGCAGAGGGGGAUGGAAUUCCGCGUGUAGCAGUGAAAUGCGUAGAUAUGCGGAGGAACACCGAUGGCGAAGGCAAUCCCCUGGGCCUGUACUGACGCUCAUGCACGAAAGCGUGGGGAGCAAACAGGAUUAGAUACCCUGGUAGUCCACGCCCUAAACGAUGUCAACUGGUUGUUGGGUCUUAACUGACUCAGUAACGAAGCUAACGCGUGAAGUUGACCGCCUGGGGAG